rnacentral:rRNA from 1 species
UCGAGAAUCUUCGGCAAUGGGCGCAAGCCUGACCGAGCGACGCCGCGUGCGGGAUGAAGGCCUUCGGGUUGUAAACCGCUGUCGUAGGGGAGGAAGAUCCUGUGAAGAACAGGGUUUGACCGAUCCUAGGAGGAAGGGCCGGCUAAUCUCGUGCCAGCAGCCGCGGUAAUACGAGAGGCCCAAACAUUAUUCGGAAUUACUGGGCUUAAAGAGUUCGUAGGCGGCAUGGUAAGUAGGGUGUGAAAUCCCU